rnacentral:rRNA from 1 species
CCUAUGGGUAAAAUCACCCUGAAUGUGCACAAGCUCAUCAGAUCUCAGAAGCUAAACAGGGGUGAGUCUAGUUAAUACAUGAAUGGAAGACAGCUUGGGUAUACAGUAGCAGGUGUCAUAGGC